AAUAUUGGACAAUGGAGGCAACUCUGAUCCAGCCAUGCCGCGUGCAGGAUGACGGCCCUAUGGGUUGUAAACUGCUUUUAUAUAGGAAGAAACCUUUUCACGUGUGAGAAGCUGACGGUACUAUAAGAAUAAGGACCGGCUAACUCCGUGCCAGCAGCCGCGGUAAUACGGAGGGUCCGAGCGUUAUCCGGAAUCAUUGGGUUUAAAGGGUCCGUAGGCGGGAAUCUAAGUCAGUGGUGAAAUCUUGCAGCUCAACUGUAAAAUUGCCAUUGAUACUGGGUUUCUUGAAUUAGUGUGAAGUGGUUAGAAUGUGUAGUGUAGCGGUGAAAUGCAUAGAUAUUACACAGAAUACCAAUUGCGAAGGCAGAUCACUAACACUAUAUUGACGCUGAGGGACGAAAGCGUGGGGAGCGAACAGGAUUAGAUACCCUGGUAGUCCACGCCGUA
rnacentral:rRNA from 1 species